GACGAACGCUGGCGGCGUGCCUAAUACAUGCAAGUAGAACGCACAGUUUAUACCGUAGCUUGCUACACCAUAAACUGUGAGUUGCGAACGGGUGAGUAACGCGUAGGUAACCUGCCUGGUAGCGGGGGAUAACUAUUGGAAACGAUAGCUAAUACCGCAUAAUAUUAAUUAUUGCAUGAUAAUUGAUUGAAAGAUGCAAUUGCAUCACUACCAGAUGGACCUGCGUUGUAUUAGCUAGUAGGUGAGGUAACGGCUCACCUAGGCGACGAUACAUAGCCGACCGGAGAGGGGGAUCGGCCACACUGGGACUGAGACACGGCCCAGACUCCUACGGGAGGCAGCAGUAGGGAAUCGUCGGAAAUGGACGAAAGUCGGACCGAGCAACGCCGCGGGAGGGAAGAAGGGUGUCGGAUCGUAAAGCUCGGCUGUAAGAGAAGAACGGGUGUGAGAGUGGAAAGUUCACACUGUGACGGUAUCUUACCAGAAAGGGACGGCUAACUACGUG
rnacentral:rRNA from 1 species